AGUGGCGGACGGGUGAGUAACCCGUGAGAAUCUGCCUUCAGGUCGGGGACAACAGAGGGAAACUUCUGCUAAUCCCGGAUGAGCCUUAGGGUAAAAAAUUUAUUGCCUGGAGAUGAGCUCGCGUCUGAUUAGCUAGUUGGUAAGGUAAAAGCUUACCAAGGCAACGAUCAGUAGCUGGUCUGAGAGGAUGAGCAGCCACACUGGGACUGAGACACGGCCCAGACUCCUACGGGAGGCAGCAGUGGGGAAUUUUCCGCAAUGGGCGAAAGCCUGACGGAGCAAGACCGCGUGGGGGAGGAAGGCUCUAGGGUUGUAAACCCCUUUUCUUUGGGAAGAACAAAAUGACGGUACCAAAGGAAUCAGCCUCGGCUAACUCCGUGCCAGCAGCCGCGGUAAUACGGAGGAGGCAAGCGUUAUCCGGAAUGAUUGGGCGUAAAGCGUCCGCAGGUGGCAAUGUAAGUCUGCUGUCAAAACCCAGGGCUCAACUCUGGUCAGGCAGUGGAAACUACAUAGCUAGAGUUCGGUAGGGGCAAAGGGAAUUCCCGGUGUAGCGGUGAAAUGCGUAGAGAUCGGGAAGAACAUCGGUGGCGAAAGCGCUUUGCUAGACCGAAACUGACACUCAGGGACGAAAGCUAGGGGAGCGAAUGGGAUUAGAUACCCC
rnacentral:rRNA from 1 species